GAUGAACGCUAGCGGCAGGCUUAACACAUGCAAGUCGAGGGGCAGCAUGAGACGGAGAUUCGUCGAAGUCUUGAUGGCGACCGGCGCAAGGGUGCGUAACGCGUGAGCAACUUGCCCGUUUCUGGGGAAUAACCGGUGGAAACGCCGACUAAUACCCCAUAGUAUCAGAUUGAGGCAUCUUUAUCUGAUUAAAGAAUUUCGGAAACGGAUAGGCUCGCGUGACAUUAGCUGGAUGGCGGGGUAACGGCCCACCUAGUCUACGAUGUCUAGGGGUUCUGAGAGGAAGGUCCCCCACACUGGAACUGAGACACGGUCCAGACUCCUACGGGAGGCAGCAGUGAGGAAUAUUGGUCAAUGGUCGGAAGACUGAACCAGCCAAGUAGCGUGAAGGAUGAAGGUUCUAUGGAUUGUAAACUUCUUUUAUACGGGAAUAAAACCUCCCACGUGUGGGAGCUUGUAUGUACCGUAUGAAUAAGCGUCGGCUAACUCCGUGCCAGCAGCCG
rnacentral:rRNA from 1 species